GUGAAUCAUCAAAUUUUUGAACGCAAAUUGCACUCUCCUCGGAGAGUAUGCCUGUUUGAGGGUCAGCCUAAAAAAAAUCGACAUCGUUGCUGUUUCACCGGUAACGUUCGUCGGAAAUUGGGUCAUCUUAAACCUUUUAGUUUAAGCGACUUAAAAUUUUCUUUUGAUUCCAUGAACGUUUCUAAGAUUUAUUUCUUUACACGUUUAAGGUAUCGAUUUAUUAGACGUUGCCGUCAUGUCGGAUCGCGUCCAUAAUCUUUCAUUAACUGACCUCAGACAGGUAAGAGUACCCGCUGAACUU
rnacentral:misc_RNA from 1 species